rnacentral:rRNA from 1 species
UGGCGGAAUGCUUUACACAUGCAAGUCGAGCGGCAGCGCGGGGCAACCUGGCGGCGAGCGGCGAACGGGUGAGUAAUGCAUCGGAACAUGUCCACUCGUGGGGGAUAGCCCGGCGAAAGCCGGAUUAAUACCGCAUACGCCCUUUGGGGGAAAGCCGGGGACCGCAAGGCCUGGCGCGAAUGGGUUGGCCGAUGUCCGAUUAGCUAGUUGGCGGGGUAAUGGCCCACCAAGGCGAUGAUCGGUAGCUGGUCUGAGAGGAUGAUCAGCCACACUGGGACUGAGACACGGCCCAGACUCCUACGGGAGGCAGCAGUGGGGAAUUUUGGACAAUGGGGGCAACCCUGAUCCAGCCAUUCCGCGUGAGUGAAGAAGGCCCUCGGGUUGUAAAGCUCUUUUGUCCGGAGCGAAACGGGUAGCGUGAAUAUCGCUGCCUACUGACGGUACCUGCAGAAGAAGCGCCGGCUAACUACGUGCCAGCAGCCGCGGUAAUACGUAGGGCGCAAGCGUUAUCCGGAAUUAUUGGGCGUAAAGAGCUCGUAGGCGGUUUGUCGCGUCUGCCGUGAAAGUCCGGGGCUCAACUCCGGAUCUGCGGUGGGUACGGGCAGACUAGAGUGAUGUAGGGGAGACUGGAAUUCCUGGUGUAGCGGUGAAAUGCGCAGAUGUCAGGAGGAACACCGAUGGCGAAGGCAGGUCUCUGGGCAUUAUCUGACGCUGAGGAGCGAAAGC